rnacentral:lncRNA from 1 species
CUUCUUCUCCUCCUCCUUCUUCUCCUUCUUCUUCUCUCCUCCUUCUUCUCCUCCUUCUUCUCCUUCGCCUUCUAUUCUUUUUUCUUCUUCUCCUCCUCCUUCUCCUUCCCCUUCCCCUCCUCCUCCUCCUCCUCCUUCUUGUUUUUAUUCUACUUGUUCUCUUCUUCCUUCUUCUCUUUCUUAUUCAAUUUAGCUUAUUUGUCA